GAUGAACGCUGGCGGCGUGCCUAAUACAUGCAAGUCGAGCGAACAGAUGAGGCGCUUGCUCCUCUGACGUUAGCGGCGGACGGGUGAGUAACACGUGGAUAACCUACCUAUAAGACUGGGAUAACUUCGGGAAACCGGAGCUAAUACCGGAUAAUAUAUUGAACCGCAUGGUUCAAUAGUGAAAGACGGUUUUGCUGUCACUUAUAGAUGGAUCCGCGCCGCAUUAGCUAGUUGGUAAGGUAACGGCUUAUCAAGGCAACGAUGCGUAGCCGACCUGAGAGGGUGAUAGGCCACACUGGAACUGAGACAGGGUCCAGACUCCUACGGGACGCAGCAGUAGGGAAUCUUCCGCAAUGGGCGAAAGCCUGACGGAGCAACGCCGCGUGAGUGAUGAAGGUCUUCGGAUCGUAAAACUCUGUUAUUAGGGAAGAACAAAUGUGUAAGUAACUAUGCACGUCUUGACGGUACCUAAUCAGAAAGCCACGGCUAACUACGUG
rnacentral:rRNA from 1 species